UGGUGGAGUGAUUUGUCUGGUUAAUUCCGAUAACGAACGAGACCUUAACCUGCUAAAUAGUCACGCGAACUGACGUUCGGUGGACGACUUCUUAGAGGGACUUUCGGCGACUAGCCGAAGGAAGUUUGAGGCAAUAACA
rnacentral:rRNA from 1 species